ensembl:lncRNA
GAGGCCUGAGGGGGUGGGGGGGAAGGAAGGGAGGCGGGGGAGAAAAUGUAUCACAGGAUGGCCUGGGUUGAAAAGGACCUCUAAGAUUAUCUAGUUUCAACCCCACUGCCCCGGGCAGGGCUCGCCAGCCACCAGACCAGGCUGCCCAGAGCCACAUCCAGCCUGGCCUUGAAUGCCUCCAGGGUGGGGCAUCCACAACCUCUGGGCAACCUGCUUCAGUGGGUCACCAUCCUUUGAGUAUCCAUAAAAAUAAAAGCACAUUGCUCUAGCUCUUCACAUAAGAUACUUCAGUACUGUAUGCAACAGUUGUCUGAAAGAACUGUUGACUUCAGCCUCUUCAGACUUCUUCUCUAAUGCACAGCCCGUACAGUGACCCACACUUUUGUAUCAUCACAGAUCAGCACGCUGACUGUCAAACACAUCAUUAAUCUGGAAAUUAUUCUGCCUUAGCCUGGCUGAUUGGAUUUUGCAUGAGGCUGUAAGGUGGAGUAAGUCAAGGAAUAAAACUUUCCAAGGUUGGAAAGACCACUAAGAUCAUCUACUCCAAACAUCAACCAUGGUGGUCAUGUCAUUCAAUGCCACAUCUCCAUGUUUCUUGAGCAUCUUCUCACAGUGCAGCUGCUUUGUUUUUCCCACCUUCCCACUGCUGCCCUUACAGACAUGCUUGUUAUCAACUUAUUGUCACAGUAAGUCCACUCUGAUUUUAGGGACAACAUGUAAGUACUCAGGCUACAGCAAGUAAGGACUUGCUUGAAUGCAACACCUGGGAGCAUAGAAACAAAGAAAAUAAAUUUCUUACCUUUGGAAGGCCUCAGGUAGGUGAGAAUCUCCAGUAAUAUACCCUCACCACCACUGCCAGCCUUUAAAUGAGAUCUGGGAAGGGGUGGAGGUGGCUCUUGGCUCUGUCCCUUCUAGUCACUCAGGUGCUUUGCAUGCACCUGAGCUCUCCUGGCUUGGCCCUGCCUUCCCACCAGGUGCUCAAUCACUGGUUCAAGCUGUGACAGCAUUUCUGCUGUACUAUCGCAUAUAGCAAAUACCCUUGCCAAGCUAUAGCAAAGCAUUGCAAUAUUUUUACUCCCAGGAUUUUUUUUCUCUCUGCUAAAUAUCUCACCCCUUUCAUCCAUAACAAUUUUCAAAGUUACGUAGUUAUGCAGAAGUUUCACAGGUCUUGAGUACCUACAACCUCAGUUUAUUUAACUGGGAUGAACACUGGUGGUGCUCAGUACUUUGAAAGAUCACCUUUAGAGAAAAGAAGGAAUAUGCCUUCUUUCUCACGGAUUUAAAGCACAGGCUCUUCUUAAUGCAUGCAUAAAUUUGAGAUAAAUUAUUACACCUUCAAUUUAGGCUGUCUUCCGUUUUUCCUUCCAUAGGCCUAGUUUUAGCCGCACAGGUUUGAAAAUAUUAGCCUUAACUAUAACCUACACCCCCAAUGGAUUGAUUUUUGACAAUAAAGUGAUUUUUUUUCCUCUUAGAAAGUUCACAGUUGUCAGCCCAUUUUGGGGGGGUAAAAAAAAAAAAAGGCCUUUCUAUCUCUGGAAAUAAUUUCAAUGGAUUUUUUUUCUGCUAAGCAAAUCAUUUAUAAAAGGUAAUAAAGAAUGAAAGGUGUGCCUCUAUGUAAACACAGGCAAGCUAUAUACAUUCACUUAACUUUGGAGUUUAUUUCAUAGUACAUAGUCUUUGAUGCAUAAAACCCUUAUUAAUUUGUUUGAUAAACAAAGGAACAGUGUAUUCAUUUUUAUUGGUCACACUGAUUUUUCUCCAUGGUCCCCAGAUUACCAUCUGAGGUCUGAAAGCUAAAGAGAAGAGACUAUUUGGGGUAUGUUACCUAAAUAAAAACAAUCAGAAUGAAAAAAAUAUCUUGAGUCACCAAAUUCAGUAUCAUAACAAUAUAAUCUGAUUUGGGUUAAAAUCUAAGGAAAAGAAAUAUUAAACCUCCCCUCAAGACUACUGAUAGUGAGAUGAUGAGCACUUAGCAAAAAUGAGCAAAAGAGAAACCCUAGAUAAGAAAACUGCAGUGAGUUUUAUAAGUAGCAGUAAACCAUGUCUAGACCCAUGAUGCAUGAUUCAGACAUGUUCACUGAACUCCUAUGCCUUCACUGGGUGAUUUUACUCUUUUCUCUGGCUCAGGCCUCCAACUGAAGCAAAUCAAAACUAUGCACUUGCUUUAAAGAAAAAUGUGGUUCUUACAUAAAAGUCAGAGUAGGGUGGUGUGAACUGUCACGCAGUGCUUGCACACACUGCUUUUGCCAAGAGAUUAUAAGUUCAUAGUAACAGCCAGUGCCUUUACAGUUUUCCUGGGGCUUAGUGAGGCAAGUCACAGCUGCAUUAAAAAUUAAAUGGAAAGAACAUUUGCAACUUGUAGUCAAACACAAUGAGCAAUAAUGGGCUUGCCAAGUCUUUGAGGACAUAAAUCUUUCCAUCUGAGGCAGCUGAAGGACUUUGUAACCGUAUGAUUAGAGCCUGUGUUUUGGUUGGAUUGGAAUGCAGUUAAGGAUGUUGUGGGUUCAUGUCCACUUGCUGUAGGUGGUAAAAACCAGAAGGAGCUGGAUCCUAUACAGCUCAGAAGCUCUUCUGCUAACCACAGAAUGGCUACCAGGCUUCUACACCAUUAGACAAGAAAGAAAAGGAGACACAGCUGAUAGCUGGGGGCUCAAACAAAAUGGCAGCAAAGUGACCCAGAGGCCACCAGUCUGUGGACUAAUAGACCACUGAUGCAUACAAGGUGUGAACACAGAGCACAAUGGUGAGAGAUAUCAGUUGGAAAGUACAGUAGGUGCUGCUGUCCUACAUAAAAAAAACAGAACUGGAACUAAGGAGGCAUUUCCAGUGUGCAAGAGGAGGCAAAGGCACUGGGGACUUUCGGCUUAGAUUCAGCAAGAUGCGUCUUAUACUUCACGUAGAACUUUGACUUCAGUAAGACAACCUCCGUGCUUCACACUGGACAUAUAAGGACCUCUCUGCAGGCACUGGAGCUACAGUUGUACAAACUCAGAAUUUCAGUAUGAAGGCCAGAGGUAAAAAUUUAGGAUUAAGAGAAGGUAGCUAUGUGCUCUGUUGCAGAAGAAGUAGGCAUUACUGUAGACAAUAAUCCAAUAGCCCACAUUUCUGCAACAAACUCUGAUCUCAUGUGCACUUCAGAGCAUCUUUCAAGAGUGCAAACAGUUUUUGAAACUAGAUUUCACUGCUCCCUGUGAGGAGGAAAGCUUAUGGCCAUGACCUCACAAAUUAUAAAUAGAUUUCAAUGGAAGCAGAGGGCUAAGCAUAGAGUUGCCAUCCAAGGUGUAAUUUAAACUUUUGCUGAUGCUGACAGAGGCUGCUUCCAUUGGGACUUCUUCGGGUGGCACCAAUUUGUUCAUCCAUAUGGGAACAGCAGGGAAGGAGAGGAAUGCUUCACUGUAACUUAUAGAAGGCAAAAUGGAAAGAUGUUUGAGUGCCAUCAUGGGGGUGAAUUUAUUAUAUAUAUAUACACUUAAAAUUUACCUCUUUGUGAAACUGAUGUCAGUGUCAGCUCUUUCAGAUAUGGAGGAAAUUUACACAAAGAAGAUGCUUCCUUCUAUCACAAGUUCACUCUCCGUUCUGGCAACACUGCUUUCACUUGGUGAAAGUAGAUCAGAAUUCACCAUGUUAAUAAAAAAUAUAUUAGAAUCUGAUCCACUAUCUGCACCGAAGAAGCCAACAGGAAUAGCUUGUGUGACAGCAGAUUCUUAAUUAGGCCUCUCAUUAAUUGCUGUAGUUUUGCUGGGGAGCACAAAAUCACAUCACAAAGUCCUCUAGAUAACAAAGCCUUGCAACUCUGUCUGAAGUAGGAAAGGUGAGGUUACAGGAGGACAUGAAGCCAAAGGAGGUCGUGGAAUGAGUCAUUCUCCGUCUCAGGUAUGUGCAGCUACCAUUUCCUGGUUCCCAUUAUGAGACAACACUUAUCUUAGUACAUUAUUCCCAGGUUUCUAAGAUUUUAUUUUAAAAACUGGAGCACAGGCUUUGGAUCACAACAGGCUACGAGUCAUGCUCUCAGAGGCAAAGACUCACACAAGCUGGUGAGCUCACUGUGCACAUCCUCCGCCUCCAUUCCUUCUCCUUGCUAUUAAUACGAGUGUGACACAACACAAUGUUAAAUGAGAUCAGAGUAACAACAGCCAUGGGAGGUCAAUAAAUUUGAAUAGUAUAUAAUCAAAUCUGUGCCUUGAGCAGGUAGAUUCUCGCUUUAUGAGAUCGUGGGAGUUAACUUUCAUUUAGCAGAAAUAAGUAUUCAGCCAACUGAGGCCCUUCUUUUUUACAUACAGAUAGGUUCCUCCGUUCAUCUGCAUUCUAUAAAGCCGUGUUAUUCUUCUGUGUUUAUCAGAUCUGUGAUAGCGGGGAGAACAGAAAACGUGUGUGAUAUCCGCCAGCUGGAUUCCAUCUGUCUUUUCUCUGCGGAGAUGGAGUUUCAAAGGCUACAUCCUAUCUGCUGUCACACCCUCUCCCGACAUGAGAAGCUAAGUGUAAAGUUUGGCCAAAGUGAUGGAAAAAACAAUAUCUCUUUUGUACAUCACAACUAUUUCCCUACCUACACAAAAGUGGCAUUCUUCUUGUUCUGGCAUGCAUGAUGUACUGUUGCACUGUAUCACAACUUUCCUAUUAAAUAAAAGGAGCCUGGCCAAAGGGAUUUCAGAGAAAGUAAGCUUUUUUUUGUUUGUUUGUUCAUUUUUAAGACUCUGUGGAUCUGUGUGAG